UCAGAGCAUCUCUGACCGGCACUAAGUGUAGUGCGCCCCAUCCCGUGGAUUUGAAGCGACGGCUCCAUUUCCUUUCCGACUUCCCUCAUUUAAUCAAGUGCUUGCGCAACGGCCUGCUUAGCCAUGAGUACUUGGUGCCAGAAGGGCGGGUCUCCUUGCAAGCUGUACGUAGAGCCGUGGCAAUGGAUGGGAACAACGUGACACUCCAGGCACUACAUGGCAUCACCACCAGCCACACUCACCCGAACAACUUCGAAAAGAUGCGGGUUUCUUUAGCUUUCCAGCUAUUCAGUGACAAAGUUGUCAAGGGCAUGCAGCUCUACUGAGAAAAGAUUGAAGAACGGUGCGGUGAUAUUGCAGCAACACUACAUUUCUUUGAGAUCAUCCGUGACCUCAUCUUGAUAAUGACUUCCCGGUUUCCUGCCGAAGCAUUGAGACUUUCAUCACCAUCUGCGGACAAACUGAAGAACAUGCUGGUACUGCUGGACAACUGGGAACGUCACACAAAAGGACAGCGUGGCUUCCAGAGCCAGUCCACUGCAACAGGGCUCCGAGUUACUGUCUCAAGUGUAUUGUCAUUGCUGAAAUACCUUUGUGAAGUCGUAGGUUUUAAAUACCUGUUAACGAGCCGGACAAGCCAGGACCCCAUUGAGCACCUUUUUGCUAUAGUGCGGCAGUCAUGUGGAUGCAAUGCCCAUCCGACGCCACAGCAGUUUGUUGUUGCUGUAAACUGCCUAUCGUUCAGUAAUCUUGUUCACUCGGUUGCGAAAGGAAAUUGUGAGCCUGCAAUACUCAGUUCCCUCUUAGGCCCUGAUGCCAGUCAGCACAGCGGUCCUUCUGGCAAGCAGCAGCUUGUUGAUAUGUCUCUUGAUGUGGGCAAUAUUGAUGCUGCAGAUACUUUAAUGCUCAGUGCAGAGUCCGACCAUACAUCGUGUGAUGUGGCAUCAAGCGACAGCAGACUUAUAUUUUAUAUGGCUGGCUAUGUAGCCAGAAAAUGUAUCCUCAGGACUAAAUGUGAGGAAUGCCUC
rnacentral:lncRNA from 1 species